GGGUAGGGGAAGUCGGCGAACCACCAGGGUUCCAGGCCGCCCAGCGACGCUCCGCCCAGGCUCUCCGAGUCCUCGGAGUCCGAAGGUGACGGCUCGAGGUCCAGUCCCCCCUUCUGCUGGUGCUUCCCCUACCUCCACGCUCCCUUUCCUACCCUGGAGAAGGCCAGCAGGAAAUCCAUGCGGUGGGUCGGCCCCAGGCAAUGCCGCAGGCGCCAGUACACCAGGUGUUCCCAGGCGAAGACCAGCAAGGAGAGGCCCAUGGCCACGAGGAGCAUGUAGAAGACACCUGCCAUGUUGUCGAUAUCCAGCUUGCUGCUCAUCACCUCGAUUUUGUCAUUGUGGCAGAUCCCGGAAAGCCACAGUCGCUCCAACAUUUCAAUCUCAUCUGGGGAUGGGGUCAGAGUCACUUACUGUGAACACACCUUCCUCUGAUAGAGCCCUGGCCCCAUCCCAUCCUCCCCAGGAUGGAGGGCCAGCCCUCCCAUCUCCAGGGUAGGAGGACUUCCUGCCCAGAGUAGCCGCACCAUCCCCCAGGAACUGCAGCAGAGCCAGGUCGAUGGGCCUCUUCCAGCGGGAGCCCUUGUGCAGGGCGAUGCCGUAACCAGUGGUGGCGAAGACCUUGCCAGAGCCGAUGGUGACCAGCUUGCAGCCCUCGUCCUUGCGGGCCAUGUAGUUGAGCACUGCUGCGUCAUAGAUGAAGGCGUCCAGUUUCCUGAGGACAGGGGCAUGAAAGACAGGGUCAGUCUCACUUAGGUGACCUCAUGGCACGCCAGGAACCCUUUCGUCUCUAACUGAGCGGGUGCCUCUCCUGUGCCUCUUUGCAACAUUGUAAAGGACAGGCGGGACUGCCCGGCAGAGAGAAUAAAAAGGAGAGAUCUGGGCUUGAGAGCAGGAAAGACACACCUCGGGCAAGAAGCCAGGCAGAUGCCAGCCAGAGAGAGGCAGCGAAGGUCCCUGCCCUUCAGCCACCUGUGCCUCCCACGCACCUCGCACCUGCAUCAGGGCCUCUGAACACCUCUGCCUGCAAGGCUCAGUCUACCCCAGGGGCAUGCACACGCUCCCUCAGAGGCCACCAGAGGCCACGGGACCCUGACCCUGCCGAGAAGCCACUCUGACACCUGCCUGGUGACCCUGACCCUGCCAAGAAGCCACUCUGACACCUGCCUGGUGACCCUGACCCUGCCAAGAAGCCACUCUGACACCUGCCUGGUGACCCUGACCCUGCCAAGAAGCCACUCUGACACCUGCCUGGUGACCCUGACCCUGCCGAGAAGCCACUCUGACGCCUGCCUGGUGACCCUGUUGGUUUGUGUGUUUGAUGCUCACUGUUCACUCGAGACUCUCAGUAACUGAGAAUAGGAAGUGUCUGUCUAAUGUCCAGCACAAGAAGACAAUAAGAAAAGAAGCAUGAGGGGCUGGAGAGAUGGCUCAGAGGUUAAGAGCACUGACUGCUCUUCCAGAGGUCUUGAGUUCAAUUCCCAGCAACCACAUGGUGGCUGACAACCAUCUACAAUUCAAUCUGGUGUAUAUGUAAUAAAUAAAUAAAUCUUUAAAAAAAAAAAGAAAAGAAGCAUGUUGGAAUCUAAGUAAGGAGAACUACUGCACUUAGCCUAGGAGACUGCAAUGCUGGGGAACGAGCCCAGGGCUUGGGACACACUAGGCCAGCCCUCUGUCACUCAGCCAUAGUCCCGCCCUCUGUCACUCAGCCACAGUCCAGGCCCUUAACUAACCAGGUUUGCCACACUAGAGGCCGCACUCUGGGGACUGAAUUUAACUUUAUCCCUGUGAUUUAAAGAGCUAACGUGAAAAACAAUACCCUUCCUAUAAUCCAAGUAUUUGUUGCACAGUUCAGAACUGAUAACUAUACAAUAAUUAUAAAAAAGACCUACUGUGGAAUCAUCUCUGUGGAGCUUCCAAGAAGAGAGAAAGAAGAAGAGAGGAGAGGAGAGGAGUUUGAGUCUAGGAGCACGGGAGACACCAGAGGAGAUGAAGACGAAACAGGAGGUACAAGGCGGGAGAGAGGUAACAAGCCACGAGACGAAACUUAGACUAAUAAACUUAAGUUAUAAGAGCUAGUGUCCAAGCCCAAACUAUAGGCUGAGCUUUCGUAAUUAAUAAUGUCUCCAUGUCGUGUUCUGUGAGCUGACGGCCCAAAGAAAAAUCUGUCUACAAAGAGCCACCGUACUCUGGCCACUGUCCAGCGUGGAUUAGCUACGUUGUUUUGAGACAAGGUCUCAGACUAUAUCCCAGUUGGCCUGGAACACACCGAGAGCUGCCGCCACUCUAAUUCCAAAUGCCUGACCAAACUUUGU